CCUGGCUCAGGACGAACGCUGGCGGCGCGCCUAACACAUGCAAGUCGAACGAGCGAGAGAGAGCUUGCUUUCUCAAGCGAGUGGCGAACGGGUGAGUAACGCGUGAGGAACCUGCCUCAAAGAGGGGGACAACAGUUGGAAACGACUGCUAAUACCGCAUAAGCCCACGGCUCGGCAUCGAGCAGAGGGAAAAGGAGCAAUCCGCUUUGAGAUGGCCUCGCGUCCGAUUAGCUAGUUGGUGAGGUAAUGGCCCACCAAGGCGACGAUCGGUAGCCGGACUGAGAGGUUGAACGGCCACAUUGGGACUGAGACACGGCCCAGACUCCUACGGGAGGCAGCAGUGGGGAAUAUUGCACAAUGGGGGAAACCCUGAUGCAGCGACGCCGCGUGGAGGAAGAAGGUCUUCGGAUUGUAAACUCCUGUUGUUGAGGAAGAUAAUGACGGUACUCAACAAGGAAGUGACGGCUAACUACGUGCCAGCAGCCGCGGUAAAACGUAGGUCACAAGCGUUGUCCGGAAUUACUGGGUGUAAAGGGAGCGCAGGCGGGAAGGCAAGUUGGAAGUGAAAUCCAUGGGCUCAACCCAUGAACUGCUUUCAAAACUGUUUUUCUUGAGUAGUGCAGAGGUAGGCGGAAUUCCCGGUGUAGCGGUGGAAUGCGUAGAUAUCGGGAGGAACACCAGUGGCGAAGGCGGCCUACUGGGCACCAACUGACGCUGAGGCUCGAAAGUGUGGGUAGCAAACAGGAUUAGAUACCCUGGUAGUCCACACUGUAAACGAUGAUUACUAGGUGUUGGAGGAUUGACCCCUUCAGUGCCGCAGUUAACACAAUAAGUAAUCCACCUGGGGAGUACGACCGCAAGGUUGAAACUCAAAGGAAUUGACGGGGGCCCGCACAAGCAGUGGAGUAUGUGGUUUAAUUCGACGCAACGCGAAGAACCUUACCAAGUCUUGACAUCCUGCGACGGUUCUGGAAACAGAACUUUCCUUCGGGACGCAGAGACAGGUGGUGCAUGGUUGUCGUCAGCUCGUGUCGUGAGAUGUUGGGUUAAGUCCCGCAACGAGCGCAACCCUUAUGGUCAGUUACUACGCAAGAGGACUCUGGCCAGACUGCCGUUGACAAAACGGAGGAAGGUGGGGAUGACGUCAAAUCAUCAUGCCCUUUAUGACUUGGGCUACACACGUACUACAAUGGCGUUAAACAAAGAGAAGCAAGACCGCGAGGUGGAGCAAAACUCAGAAACAACGUCCCAGUUCGGACUGCAGGCUGCAACUCGCCUGCACGAAGUCGGAAUUGCUAGUAAUCGCAGAUCAGCAUGCUGCGGUGAAUACGUUCCCGGGCCUUGUACACACCGCCC
rnacentral:rRNA from 1 species